rnacentral:tRNA from 1 species
GGUUCCAUGGUGUAAUGGUUAGCACUCCAGAUCUUGAAUCUAGCGAACCGAGUUCAAGUCUUGGUGGAACCU